UACGGAAGGCAGCAGUGGGGAAUAUUGCACAAUGGGCGCAAGCCUGAUGCAGCCAUGCCGCGUGUAUGAAAAAGGCCUUCGGGUUGUAAAGUACUUUCAGUCGUGAGGAAGGUGUUAAGGUUAAUAACCUUAGCAAUUGACGUUAGCGACAGAAGAAGCACCGGCUAACUCCGUGCCAGCAGCCGCGGUAAUACGGAGGGUGCGAGCGUUAAUCGGAAUUACUGGGCGUAAAGGGCACGCAGGCGGUUAAUUAAGUUGGAUGUGAAAUCCCCGGGCUUAACCUGGGAAUGGCAUUCAAGACUGGUUAGCUAGAGUCUUGUAGAGGGGGUUAGAAUUCCAUGUGUAGCGGUGAAAUGCGUAGAGAUGUGGAGGAAUACCGGUGGCGAAGGCGGCCCCUGGGACAAAGGACUGACGCUCAUGUGCGAAAGCGUGGGGA
rnacentral:rRNA from 1 species